GAUUUUAUUAAAUUUUUAAAUUGUUUAUGUUUCUUUGGUUUUGAAGUCAUUUCCUGAUGAAUUCAUUACUAAUCGUACCUUUGAUUUUUUUGUUUUAAUUGAUGCAUAAACUGAGAGAAAAAUGUUGAAAAUAAGAACAGGGACUUGGUGACUUUGGAGACAAUAUCAAGCAGGUUAACCCACAGGUACUUGGAGUUCUAAAAUAGGAGAAAGAACCACUUAGAAUGACUGACAGACUUGAGCUGGAGAGGAAGAUUACAACCACCAGUGAUAGACUUCUCAAUACCAAGACACCUGCCUCUAAGGAAGAACACCUGAACCCUCGCAUUUAUUUUAACUGGUUCUUGGACACCUGAGAGGACUGGUACACCAGACUACAGUCCUCAAUAAGAACUCCCAGGCCUCAAGCAAAGAUGAGACUCUCUCCCUUCUUUUCUGAGUCUCCCAGACAC